UUCUGUCGUUCGAGCUUUGCCAAU
rnacentral:piRNA from 1 species